CGCGUAGGCGGGAUGGCAAGUCGGUCGUGAAAUCCUUCGGCUCAACCGAAGAACGUCGGCCGAUACUGCCGUUCUUGAGGGAUGCAGAGGAGAUUGGAAUUCCCGGUGUAGCGGUGAAAUGUGUAGAGAUCGGGAGGAACACCGGUGGCGAAGGCGGGUCUCUGGGCAUCUCCUGACGCCGAGGCGCGAAAGCGUGGGAGCAAACG
rnacentral:rRNA from 1 species